GGAAUUUCAAAUUUUAAACAUAUUUAUGUUCACUUGUUUUCGGUUUGAAGUUUGUUUCUUUUGACAGGAAACUAAAGGGUUUGCUAUAGCUCGUGUCAAGUCUUCGGCAUUGCGGAAACUAGCGGAUUUGCUACAGCUCGUGUCAAGUCUUCGGCAUUGCGGUAACCAUUCUACCGAGUUCUUUUGUUUGUUAUUUAAACAUGCGUUUGCUU
rnacentral:lncRNA from 1 species